GCUUACGGCCAUACCACCUUGGAAAUGUCCGAUCUCAUCUGAACUCGGAAGUAAAGCAGGGUUGGGCCUGGUUAGUACUUGGAUGGGAGACCGCCUGGGAAUACCAGGUGCUAUAAGCU
rfam:Danio rerio chromosome 4, GRCz11 reference primary assembly.